GCUAAAGAUAGUGGGCAGGAAGAGGUUGUGGAAAAAUUUCAGGGGUUUUGAAUCCCUUGAAAUUAAAUGCAAAAUGUGCCUAUAAAUUUGAGGAGGAGAAUAUUGAUAAAAUUUCAUCACAUUUUCAAAGACAUGCCUCCUGAAGGAUAAAACACCCUAACUCAGACUUUGGUGAUAAAUGCUGAAAUGUGUCCAGAAUCAUUUUCAAGAUCACACAGUUUCUAGAUAAAUGGCCAGAUGGGAGAAUUUUGCAAGUUUUGCCAUAUCUCAACAAAAUAAUUAUUACUGCUCCUGGAAAAGCUACAGCUGCGCAGUGAGGGGGAAUGGACCCAGCCUUUUUCCUGCACCCAAGAUUCCUGAACAGCCAGCUGGAAAUUCACUUAUGCCUCAGGAGACCACAGCUGCAUCUGAACACCAAGAUGAGGACCCACUAGAAGAUUCACAUCUUCAUUUGGAUAUUGAAGAAUUAAACAAGGAGUUUAUGUUGAGAAGUGAAGAACUCUAUGACUCCCUCAUGAAUUGUCACUGGCAGCCUCUGGAUACAGUCCACUCGGACAUCCCAGAUGAGACCCCAAAGUGAAGCAAGGUGUUCAGUAUCUAUCCAGAUUAACUGCAUUUGUUUUUGUUUUUGUAGGGAAAAAAAAAAAAAAAAAAAAAACCUCUUCCAUGAAUGUUCUGGAUUCUGGAUGUAAAUAAAAACUUGCAGUACCUAAAUGUUAUUGAUAUGAUGGAUUAUGAGGUACACUAACUCAUCAGCCCCUCCAUUCCUGGAAGUGUGUUACUUUAAAUAAAUGCCAGAAGAGAUGCUAUGACUAUCUUGGUAGAACAAGUUGCUCUCCGAGACAGAGGAAAACAGGUUUAAUAUAAGUUGGACUUAAAUUUAACUGAUGGUGACAUUAGCUACUCUGUUUUGUGGACUUCCUGUAACAUUAAUUUUCAUGCAAGGUUUUUCAUUUGUAUCUUGUCUAGAAAAUGUCAAUUGGAACUAGAUGUUUGUUCUCCACUGACCCUGGGGUGCUCUGUAAGAAAGCUGGUGUGACGGUGGAAGACAGUGGAGAUGAACUUGUCUCAACUGAACAGAAAGAUUCCUAAGCAUGGAAAAAAAAAAUUGCCUUUUCCAGAUUGUUGAUUUUCUAAGAGGAAAGAAUUGGGCCUUUGUAAAAGCCAGUUCUGGAAAAUAAAUAAAAGUCAGUGCAGAAACUUCAGUGAGUCU
rnacentral:lncRNA from 1 species